rnacentral:piRNA from 1 species
UGGUGUUCAGUGACUGUCAUUGCAUUUC